rnacentral:rRNA from 1 species
CAAGUCGAGCGAUGAAGCACCUUCGGGUGUGAAUUAGCGGCGAACGGGUGAGGAGCACGUGAAGAAUCUGCCUUCAACUCUGGGAUAACUCCGGGAAACCGGGGCUAAUACCGGAUAUGAGCCUUGAUCGCAUGAUCGGGGCUGGAAAGUUUUUCGGUUGAAGAUGACUUCGCGGCCUAUCAGCUUGUUGGUGAGGUAAUGGCUCACCAAGGCGACGACGGGUAGCCGGCCUGAGAGGGCGACCGGCCACACUGGGACUGAGACACGGCCCAGACUCCUACGGGAGGCAGCAGUGGGGAAUAUUGGGCAAUGGAGGAAACUCUGACCCAGCGACGCCGCGUGAGGGAUGAAGGCCUUCGGGUUGUAAACCUCUUUCAGUAGGGAAGAAGCGAAAGUGACGGUACCUACAGAAGAAGCACCGGCUAACUAUGUGCCAGCAGCCGCGGUAAUACAUAGGGUGCAAGCGUUGUCCGGAAUUAUUGGGCGUAAAGAGCUCGUAGGUGGUUCGAUACGUCGGAUGUGAAAAUCAGGGGCUCAACCCCUGACCUGCAUCCGAUACGGUCGAGCUGGAGUUUGGUAGGGGAGACUGGAAUUCCUGGUGUAGCGGUGGAAUGCGCAGAUAUCAGGAGGAACACCGAUGGCGAAGGCAGGUCUCUGGGCCAAUACUGACACUGAGGAGCGAAAGCGUGGGGGAGCGAACAGGAUUAGAUACCCUGGUAGUCCACGCCGUAAACGGUGGGCGCUAGUUGUGCGAACCUUCCACGGUUUGUGCGACGCAGCUAACGCAUUAAGCGCCCCGCCUGGGGAGUACGAUCGCAAGAUUAAAACUCAAAGGAAUUGACGG